rnacentral:SRP_RNA from 1 species
GCCAGGUGUGGUGGCUCACACCUGUAAUCCCAGCACUUUGGGAGGCUGAGGCAGGUGGAUCCCCUGAGGUCAGGAGUUUGAGACCAGCCUGACCAACAUGGGGAAACCCUGUCUCUA